AUUGAACGCUGGCGGCAGGCCUAACACAUGCAAGUCGAGCGGCAGCGGAAAGUAGCUUGCUACUUUGCCGGCGAGCGGCGGACGGGUGAGUAAUGUCUGGGAAACUGCCUGAUGGAGGGGGAUAACUACUGGAAACGGUAGCUAAUACAGCAUAACGUCGCAAGAACAAAGAGGGGGCCCUUCGGGCCUCCUGCCAUCAGAUGCGCCAAGAUGGGAUUAGCUAGUCGGUUGGGUAAUGGCUCACCUAGGCGACGAUCCCUAGCUGGUCUGAGAGGAUGACCAGCCACACUGGAACUGAGACACGGUCCAGACUCCUACGGGAGGCAGCAGUGGGGAAUAUUGCACAAUGGGCGCAAGCCUGAUGCAGCCAUGCCGCGUGUAUGAGGAAGGCCUUCGGGUUGUAAAGUACUUUCAGCGGGGAGGAAGGUGUUGAGGUUAAUAACCUCAGCAAUUGACGUUACCCGCAGAAGAAGCACCGGCUAACUCCGUGCCAGCAGCCGCAGUAA
rnacentral:rRNA from 1 species